GCUCCUGCAACCCAGCUACUUGGAGGCUUAUCUGGUUGGCCAGUUUGAGGAUGAGAGUCCUGGUCGUCAGUUUUCUAUGGUAAUCUGGUGGCCAUGCUAAGCUCAGCAUCAAUAUGGUGCUGGUGAGGAAAUUCAUCAGGACAGGAUUGUCUAAGGAGGUGACCCUCCUUGGUCCUUGGUCCAGGUUAGAAACACAGCAGGUAAAAAACCUUGUGUCAAGCAGUAGUAAGAUCAUGCCUGUAAAUGGUCAUUGGCUGACAGCCUGUUCAAUGCAACAGAACACCAAU
rnacentral:SRP_RNA from 1 species